rnacentral:lncRNA from 1 species
CCAAUCCCACGUCGACUGUGCUGAAGAUGGCCAAGCUCUUCCUCCUCCUCCUCUUUGGCGCCCUCGUCUGCUCCGCCGGUGCCAGGAAACUCGCUAGCAAAGCGCCUUUGGAGGAGAAGAGCUGGUUCCACAAAGGUCGUGGCCAUGGGGGUGGCUCCGGCGGAGGAGGUGGAUACGGUGGCGGAGGUGGUUAUGGUGGUGGAGGUGGGUAUGGUGGCGGCGCCGGGCACGGAGGUGGAUAUGGUGGUGGAGCUGGGUAUGGUGGCGGCGGUGGGUAUGGUGGGGGUGGAGGAGGAGGCUAUGGAGGUGGAGGUGGUGGUGGACAAGGCGGAGGCUACGGAGGAGGAGCUGGCGCUGGCGGUGGGUAUGGAGGCGGUUCGGGUUUUGGCGGAGGAUAUGGAGGUGGCGCUGGAGGCGGUUACGGUGGCGGUGGUGGGUCAGGCGGCGGUUACGGCGGAGGAGCUGGUGGCGGUGGACACCCAUGAAGGAUUCCGACGAUGAACUGCGUUGUGUGUCACUUUCAUUGUAUCGUAGUACGUAUGCUUGUCGAGAAUAAGUUGCGCAGCAUCAGCAUGCAUUACUUCAACCGAUGAUGGCUUGCCCUAAUUAUAUUUUGUGCACGAUGUAAUAUUUGGUUUGACAUAUACCAAUAUUAUUGCUAGAUCAAAUCAUAAGUUAUGCGACAGAUGAUCUCAAAUAUAUAUUAUAUUUGAACGAGGAAC